rnacentral:rRNA from 1 species
AUUGAACGCUGGCGGCAUGCCUUACACAUGCAAGUCGAACGGCAGCACAGGUGCUUGCACCUGGUGGCGAGUGGCGAACGGGUGAGUAAUACAUCGGAACGUACCUUAUCGUGGGGGAUAACGCAGCGAAAGCUGUGCUAAUACCGCAUACGCCCUGAGGGGGAAAGCGGGGGAUCGAAAGACCUCGCGCGAUUAGAGAGGCCGAUGCCUGAUUAGCUUGUUGGUGGGGUAAAAGCCCACCAAGGCGACGAUCAGUAGCUGGUCUGAGAGGACGAUCAGCCACACUGGGACUGAGACACGGCCCAGACUCCUACGGGAGGCAGCAGUGGGGAAUUUUGGACAAUGGGGGCAACCCUGAUCCAGCAAUGCCGCGUGAGUGAAGAAGGCCUUCGGGUUGUAAAGCUCUUUUGUCAGGGAAGAAACACCGGCUCUAACACAGUCCGGGAAUGACGGUACCUGAAGAAUAAGCACCGGCUAACUACGUGCCAGCCGCCGCGGUAA